GAUGAACGCUGGCGGCGUGCCUAAUACAUGCAAGUCGAGCGAACGGACGAGAAGCUUGCUUCUCUGAUGUUAGCGGCGGACGGGUGAGUAACACGUGGAUAACCUACCUAUAAGACUGGGAUAACUUCGGGAAACCGGAGCUAAUACCGGAUAAUAUUUUGAACCGCAUGGUUCAAAAGUGAAAGACGGUCUUGCUGUCACUUAUAGAUGGAUCCGCGCUGCAUUAGCUAGUUGGUAAGGUAACGGCUUACCAAGGCAACGAUGCAUAGCCGACCUGAGAGGGUGAUCGGCCACACUGGAACUGAGACACGGUCCAGACUCCUACGGGAGGCAGCAGUAGGGAAUCUUCCGCAAUGGGCGAAAGCCUGACGGAGCAACGCCGCGUGAGUGAUGAAGGUCUUCGGAUCGUAAAACUCUGUUAUUAGGGAAGAACAUAUGUGUAAGUAACUGUGCACAUCUUGACGGUACCUAAUCAGAAAGCCACGGCUAACUGCGUGCCAGCAGCCGCGGUAAUACGUAGGUGGCAAGCGUUAUCCGGAAUUAUUGGGCGUAAAGCGCGCGUAGGCGGUUUUUUAAGUCUGAUGUGAAAGCCCACGGCUCAACCGUGGAGGGUCAUUGGAAACUGGAAAACUUGAGUGCAGAAGAGGAAAGUGGAAUUUCCAUGUGUAGCGGUGAAAUGCGCAGAGAUAUGGAGGAACACCAGUGGCGAAGGCGACUUUCUGGUCUGUAACUGACGCUGAUGUGCGAAAGCGUGGGGAUCAAACAGGAUUAGAUACCCUGGUAGUCCACGCCGUAAACGAUGAGUGCUAAGUGUUAGGGGGUUUCCGCCCCUUAGUGCUGCAGCUAACGCAUUAAGCACUCCGCCUGGGGAGUACGACCGCAAGGUUGAAACUCAAAGGAAUUGACGGGGACCCGCACAAGCGGUGGAGCAUGUGGUUUAAUUCGAAGCAACGCGAAGAACCUUACCAAAUCUUGACAUCCUUUGACAACUCUAGAGAUAGAGCCUUCCCCUUCGGGGGACAAAGUGACAGGUGGUGCAUGGUUGUCGUCAGCUCGUGUCGUGAGAUGUUGGGUUAAGUCCCGCAACGAGCGCAACCCUUAAGCUUAGUUGCCAUCAUUAAGUUGGGCACUCUAAGUUGACUGCCGGUGACAAACCGGAGGAAGGUGGGGAUGACGUCAAAUCAUCAUGCCCCUUAUGAUUUGGGCUACACACGUGCUACAAUGGACAAUACAAAGGGCAGCGAAACCGCGAGGUCAAGCAAAUCCCAUAAAGUUGUUCUCAGUUCGGAUUGUAGUCUGCAAUUCGACUACAUGAAGCUGGAAUCGCUAGUAAUCGUAGAUCAGCAUGCUACGGUGAAUACGUUCCCGGGUCU
rnacentral:rRNA from 1 species